CUCGGUGAGGUGCAGUUGGCAGCAUUCUCCUCCUCCUAUAAGUCUCCUCGGAGCUUAUUCACUUUCCACAGUUAGUAAGGAAAAGGAGAGACGUAGGUUCGAUUCCUAUCACCGAGA